rnacentral:rRNA from 1 species
AUAAUAUAUUUGAUAAGGCAUCUUAUUAAUAUUAAAGCUUCGGCACUUGAUGAUGGGUGUGCGGCUGAUUAGAUAGUUGGCGGGGUAACGGCCCACCAAGUCUACGAUCAGUAGCUGAUGUGAGAGCAUGAUCAGCCACACGGGCACUGAGACACGGGCCCGACUCCUACGGGAGGCAGCAGUAAGGAAUAUUGGACAAUGGACGAAAGUCUGAUCCAGCCAUGCCGCGUGAAGGAUUAAGGUCCUCUGGAUUGUAAACUUCUUUAUAUGGGACGAAAAAGGGCAUUCUUGUUCACUUGACGGUACCAUAUGAAUAAGCACCGGCUAACUCCGUG